rnacentral:rRNA from 1 species
GUGGGGAAUUUUGGACAAUGGGCGCAAGCCUGAUCCAGCAAUGCCGCGUGCAGGAAGAAGGCCUUCGGGUUGUAAACUGCUUUUGUACGGAACGAAACGGUCCGGGUUAAUACCCUGGGCUAAUGACGGUACCGUAAGAAUAAGCACCGGCUAACUACGUGCCAGCAGCCGCGGUAAUACGUAGGGUGCAAGCGUUAAUCGGAAUUACUGGGCGUAAAGCGUGCGCAGGCGGUUUUGUAAGACAGGCGUGAAAUCCCCGGGCUCAACCUGGGAAUUGCGCUUGUGACUGCAAGGCUGGAUUGCGGCAGAGGGGGAUGGAAUUCCGCGUGUAGCAGUGAAAUGCGUAGAUAUGCGGAGGAACACCGAUGGCGAAGGCAAUCCCCUGGGCCUGCACUGACGCUCAUGCACGAAAGCGUGGGGAGCAAACAGGAUUAGAAACCCUUGUAGUCC